AGUAAAAGUCGUAACAAGGUUUCCGUAGGUGAACCUGCGGAAGGAUCAUUAAUGAAUUUUAUGGCGGAAUUGUAGCUGGCCCCAACCGGGCAUGUGCACAUUCUGUUCAUUCCAUUCUCAUACACCUCUGUGCACUUUACAUAGGUUUGGUAUAGAAAAGGUCUUUAUUGACUUUGGAAAUACUGACCUAUGCUUUUAUAAACGCUUCAGUUUUAGAAUGUCAUCCGCGUAUAACGCAAUAAAUACAACUUUCAGCAACGGAUCUCUUGGCUCUCGCAUCGAUGAAGAACGCAGCGAAAUGCGAUAAGUAAUGUGAAUUGCAGAAUUCAGUGAAUCAUCGAAUCUUUGAACGCAUCUUGCGCCCUUUGGUAUUCCGAAGGGCAUGCCCGUUUGAGUGUCAUGGUAUUCUCAAUACCCCAAAUCUUUGCGGAUAAGGGUGUGUUGGACUUGGAGGUUUUUGCAGGUAAUGAUUGUAUUACCAGCUCCUCUUAAAUGCAUUAGCAGAGAUAAUACUGCUACUCUCCAGUGUGAUAAUUGUCUACACUGUUAGUAGUGCGGUAUAACAAAAUGUCUAUGCUUCUAAUCGUCUUCGGACAACUUUUGACAAUCUGACCUCAAAUCAGGUAGGACUACCCGCUGAACUUAAGCAUAUCAAUAAGCGGAGGA
rnacentral:rRNA from 1 species